rnacentral:rRNA from 1 species
UUGUCUCAAAGAUUAAGCCAUGCAUGUCUCAGUACAAGCCGAAUUAAGGUGAAACCGCGAAAGGCUCAUUAAAUCAGUUAUGGUUCCUUAGAUCGUACCCAAACCUACUUGGAUAACUGUGGUAAUUCUAGAGCUAAUACAUGCAAACAGAGCUCCGACCGGAGACGGAAGGAGUGCUUUUAUUAGAUCAAAACCAAUCGGUGGCGGUCUCGGCCGUCAUCGCCCAACUUGGUGACUCUGAAUAACUUUACGCUGAUCGCACGGUCUCGCACCGGCGACGCAUCUUUCAAAUGUCUGCCUUAUCAACUGUCGAUGGUAGGUUCUGCGCCUACCAUGGUUGUAACGGGUAACGGGGAAUCAGGGUUCGAUUCCGGAGAGGGAGCCUGAGAAACGGCUACCACAUCCAAGGAAGGCAGCAGGCGCGCAAAUUACCCACUCCCGGCACGGGGAGGUAGUGACGAAAAAUAACGAUACGGGACUCAUCCGAGGCCCCGUAAUCGGAAUGAGUACACUCUAAACCCUUUAACGAGGAUCAAUUGGAGGGCAAGUCUGGUGCCAGCAGCCGCGGUAAUUCCAGCUCCAAUAGCGUAUAUUAAAGUUGUUGCGGUUAAAAAGCUCGUAGUCGGAUCUGUGUCUCACGCCGCCGGUUCAUCGUCCGCGGUGUCAACUGGCGUGUCGCGAGACGUAUUGCCGGUGGGCUCAGCCCGCAAGGGCGGCCCAAACAAUCCCGCCGCGGUGCUCUUCACUGAGUGUCGAGGUAGGCCGGCACGUUUACUUUGAACAAAUUAGAGUGCUUAAAGCAGGCUAGAAUUUCGCCUGAAUACUGUGUGCAUGGAAUAAUGGAAUAGGACCUCGGUUCUAUUUUGUUGGUUUUCGGAACUCCGAGGUAAUGAUUAAUAGGAACGGAUGGGGGCAUUCGUAUUGCGACGUUAGAGGUGAAAUUCUUGGACCGUCGCAAGACGAACAGAAGCGAAAGCAUUUGCCAAAAACGUUUUCAUUGAUCAAGAACGAAAGUCAGAGGUUCGAAGGCGAUCAGAUACCGCCCUAGUUCUGACCAUAAACUAUGCCAGCUAGCGAUCCGCCGACGUUCCUCCGAUGACUCGGCGGGCAGCUUCCGGGAAACCAAAGCUAUUGGGUUCCGGGGGAAGUAUGGUUGCAAAGCUGAAACUUAAAGGAAUUGACGGAAGGGCACCACCAGGAGUGGAGCCUGCGGCUUAAUUUGACUCAACACGGGUAACCUCACCAGGCCCGGACACCGGAAGGAUUGACAGAUUGAGAGCUCUUUCUUGAUUCGGUGGGUGGUGGUGCAUGGCCGUUCUUAGUUGGUG